AAUUUAUUAUUUUACUCUUUCUAACGCCAGACAAUUUCACUCAUUAAGGGGAGAGCUCCGGUACUUAAUGGGUUAACUGGCCUAUCUGCCCAUGUGUGUUGUUAACACAUUGAGUCGCAUUGCGCCCUAAUUUAUUAUUUUACUCUUUCUAACGCCAGACAAUUUCACUCAUUAAGGGGAGAGCUCCGGUACUUAAUGGGUUAACUGGCCUAUCCGCCCAUGUGUGUUGUUAACACAUUGAGUCGCAUUGUACCCUAAUUUAUUAUUUUGCUCCGUCUCGAGAGGAGAACGCUGGUGCUUAAUGGG